rnacentral:rRNA from 1 species
UACGGAGGAUCCAAGCGUUAUCCGGAAUUACUGGGCGUAAAGAGUUGCGUAGGUGGCAAAGUAAGCGAAUAGUGAAAUGAUACGGCUCAACCGUAUGUCCAUUAUUUGAACUGCUUAGCUUGAGAGCGAGAGAGGUAACUGGAAUUGCUAGUGUAGGAGUGAAAUCCGUAGAUAUUAGCAGGAACACCGAUGGCGUAGGCAGGUUACUGGCUCGUUUCUGACACUAAGGCACGAAAGCGUGGGGAGCGAACGGG